GUCUGGCGUAAACAACACAAGUACCAAGGGACCUUGUCAAUAUCGCCGCGGCCUACAUAUGGGCGAUGUUGGUUGACAUCAGCAGCAUCGCUAGAUACAAACUUACGCCAGGCAACAGGCGAUCACGUAUCCCAUAUGACGGAACGGAUCAGAAUGGGGAUUGAUGUCGACAAUGGCUUUGAAGCAUGGACGACGCCACAUGGCAGGGUCAUAUCUCUCCUGGAACAGCCUCUCUGUAUACCACAAGCGUGUUAAUGUUCAGAAUGUUAACCACUUGUUUGCUGAGCCCAGUUUCGCCUCAUUCUUUUGACCCCGUCAUGAUAUAGCUGCAAAUAAUGUUCUUGCCGUGCAGUAAAUACUCACACUCUGACACAAAUGAUAAAAACCGUUUUUAACUAAAA